UUUGUGAUGGACUAGUGGCUAGCACUUGGUGCUUUCACCGCUGAGGCCCGGGUUCGAUUCCUGGUCAGGGAG